rnacentral:lncRNA from 1 species
GAAAAGUCCUCGUGCCAAAAUGCAUCCACAGGAUGUUAAUGCAAAGGUGGAGCGGGGGAGGAGGAUGUUGUUUGAGGUGACGAUUCUGGCGGCGGCAGCUGCUACAGGUUGAGCUUCUGUAACGUGCAGUCACUACGCAGGGUGUUUUCAAUGCGUUGUCCCAGUUCAGCCUCACCAUGGCCUCCACGUUUGCCAGCACCCAAAGGGAGAGCAUAAUAAUAGCACGCAAUAAUCAAAGUACUGUACCAAGUGCUUCGAACACUAACUGGCACGUGGGAGGCUGGCAAUAAAUGUUCGCUUCAGUGAUCGAUCGGUGGCUCUGUCUUUGUGAGGAAGUGAAAGCCACCUAAGUUGAAUGACUGCUGUAAGAUCACACAGACAUAAAGGUAGAUUGGAGUCCAGACAGCCUGACCACAGCCAGUCAGCCAAGAAUGAGAUGCUUCUGACUCUUCCCCUAUUGCUGUAUCUUCUGGGCCAAGUUACCUGAAUGAACAUCGGUUUAUUGCUCUGAGAAAUUGUAAUAAUUUUUCCUUCACCCUUAUGUGAUUUUGCCAUGAAGGUCAAAUGAAACGAGGUAAUAAGUAGCAACUUGUAGCCCAGAAAGGGCUUUAUAAACUCUAGGACUUUUAUAUUAUUACCCACAUAAUGACAUAUGAUCAGCAUGAUUCCUCCACUGUGUCUGUUAUCUGAAAUUUCUUUUUCUCUAUUUCUUUUCAUCUUUUUCCAAAUAGCUUCUUAGUCAACUGAACAGUAGCAAGACUGCAUAAAGAUCCAAGAACACUUGGGCUUCAUUUAUAGUUAUGAAAUUAAUGGUAUCCAUUAAUUGUGCAGAACCUUAAACUAGCAAAUGAAAAUAAAAAUAAUUUCCAGGCUUUUGGAUUUAUUGGUAGAACUAAAAUACUGCCAGGCUGCUUUUGGCAAGACCUUCUUCUUUGUGCGCAGAAUUAUAUUAAUAGGCACUAUCAAUUCCAUCUAAAAUAAGAGAGCAGUAAGCGAAAAGCAGAUCUGUCUCUUCCUAAAGGGAAAAAUAAAAUGCAUUUCCUAAGUGUCAUUUUGGUAGACAAUCCCUGCACCUGGAAUUCUGAUAAACCGAUGCCUUGCUCUGCCUUGGCCUGGAGUUACACUCAGGAGUUCACCUUGACCUUGUGAGGCAUUGUGGGUAGGAAGGAACCUCAGCUGAAUGCUUAUGAUCUUUCUGGGUGGUUCACUCACCUGAAUCAAUAGAAUCCUCCCUGUAUAUAAUAAAACACUUCAUAUGGGCUAGACAAUAACUGAUUGUAUGGUAGAUGGUAUAAUAAGUGCUUUGCAGUCACUACUUUAAUUCCUUCCAAGAAUCAUGUGAUGACACCUCUUAUGCCCAUUUUACAGAUGAGGAAGCUGGGGUUUGGGGGGUGGUAAACUAGUCAGAGCCACACAGCUGGUCAGCACUGGAGCUGGAGAUUCAGGCUCAAGUUCAGCUGUCUCCAAAUAUCCAUAUUAUUUUCAGAACCUGUUAUUAGAAGGGAACAAUUAAUGUUGAUCAUGGACUUCAAAGAGAUCAUAGUUAUGGUGGACCUAUUAGUGCAUUCAUUUGUUAACUAUUUAUUUAAGAAAC